AUUUAUGUAGUUUAAAAAAAACAUUACAUUUUCAUUGUAAAAUUAAAACCCUUUUUCAUAAAUA
rnacentral:tRNA from 1 species